AUUACAAUGAAGAGUUUGAUCCUGGCUCAGGAUGAACGCUAGCUACAGGCUUAACACAUGCAAGUCGAGGGGCAGCAUGGUCUUAGCUUGCUAAGGCCGAUGGCGACCGGCGCACGGGUGAGUAACACGUAUCCAACCUGCCGUCUACUCUUGGACAGCCUUCUGAAAGGAAGAUUAAUACAAGAUGGCAUCAUGAGUCCGCAUGUUCACAUGAUUAAAGGUAUUCCGGUAGACGAUGGGGAUGCGUUCCAUUAGAUAGUAGGCGGGGUAACGGCCCACCUAGUCUUCGAUGGAUAGGGGUUCUGAGAGGAAGGUCCCCCACAUUGGAACUGAGACACGGUCCAAACUCCUACGGGAGGCAGCAGUGAGGAAUAUUGGUCAAUGGGCGAGAGCCUGAACCAGCCAAGUAGCGUGAAGGAUGACUGCCCUAUGGGUUGUAAACUUCUUUUAUAAAGGAAUAAAGUCGGGUAUGGAUACCCGUUUGCAUGUACUUUAUGAAUAAGGAUCGGCUAACUCCGUGCCAGCAGCCGCGGUAAUACGGAGGAUCCGAGCGUUAUCCGGAUUUAUUGGGUUUAAAGGGAGCGUAGAUGGAUGUUUAAGUCAGUUGUGAAAGUUUGCGGCUCAACCGUAAAAUUGCAGUUGAUACUGGAUAUCUUGAGUGCAGUUGAGGCAGGCGGAAUUCGUGGUGUAGCGGUGAAAUGCUUAGAUAUCACGAAGAACUCCGAUUGCGAAGGCAGCCUGCUAAGCUGCAACUGACAUUGAGGCUCGAAAGUGUGGGUAUCAAACAGGAUUAGAUACCCUGGUAGUCCACACGGUAAACGAUGAAUACUCGCUGUUUGCGAUAUACUGCAAGCGGCCAAGCGAAAGCGUUAAGUAUUCCACCUGGGGAGUACGCCGGCAACGGUGAAACUCAAAGGAAUUGACGGGGGCCCGCACAAGCGGAGGAACAUGUGGUUUAAUUCGAUGAUACGCGAGGAACCUUACCCGGGCUUAAAUUGCAGAUGAAUUACGGUGAAAGCCGUAAGCCGCAAGGCAUCUGUGAAGGUGCUGCAUGGUUGUCGUCAGCUCGUGCCGUGAGGUGUCGGCUUAAGUGCCAUAACGAGCGCAACCCUUGUUGUCAGUUACUAACAGGUUCCGCUGAGGACUCUGACAAGACUGCCAUCGUAAGAUGUGAGGAAGGUGGGGAUGACGUCAAAUCAGCACGGCCCUUACGUCCGGGGCUACACACGUGUUACAAUGGGGGGUACAGAGGGCCGCUACCACGCGAGUGGAUGCCAAUCCCCAAAACCUCUCUCAGUUCGGACUGGAGUCUGCAACCCGACUCCACGAAGCUGGAUUCGCUAGUAAUCGCGCAUCAGCCACGGCGCGGUGAAUACGUUCCCGGGCCUUGUACACACCGCCCGUCAAGCCAUGGGAGCCGGGGGUACCUGAAGUGCGUAAC
rnacentral:rRNA from 1 species